UAUCGACAUCGUGAAUAACAUGGGUUUACAAGGUAAGUUCUUGGUGGUUGUGUUGGUAGUGUUAUUAUCUGGCUGUGGGUGCGUGCGCGGGGAUCGAGAAAAGAAUUGCCCUUCGGUGACCGAUGGUCAAUGCUUGGUGAGUUGUGGGAACGAUAUAGUGGGCUGCUGCACUGAAUGUCUAAGCAAAGGUCCGGAAUCAGUACCAUGCAUUCUAAAUUGUGGCAUGACUAACGUCGGCUGCAUGGGCGGUUGCCUUGGAACCAAACUUCCCUCACCAAGUGAUGCCGAAAGCCCGGCUCCCAGCGUUCAUCUCUAAGUCUCCGUUCGAAUAUACGUCAUCGUCUUAUGAGGGGGCGAUGAUCAAUCGAUGAUAACAUUUUAAUUUACAAACACGAGCACACACACACACAAACACAUGCACGUAGAGUAGACAUCCAUUAUUAAUAAUGAUUGUAUCUGUGUCAUCGGCCCUUGAUAU
rnacentral:lncRNA from 1 species